UUAAGGCUCCCAGAUUUUCUACCUAGUGUAUGAAAAGUACAGUACUGCUGUUGGAAGAGGAUCAGUGUGGUAUCUAUGGUCCCCCAUCACUUCAAGCAUCAUGGCUAUGGAUUAAAGAAGGUUUCAUUACAUAUGGACAAUUAUAUUGGACAAAAUAAGAAGUGUUCUAAUAAGUUCUGGAAUGUGGCUUGUUAUGAUGGGUCUACAUGAUUGACUUGGAGUACAAUUUGAUGGGGGCUGGGCUUGCAGAAUUCAGUCCUGAACAUGUUUAGAAUGUCUUCUGUAUGACCUGGUAUAGUAUUCUUGAAGGAUUAUAACUUCAAAACAGAGACGGAGAUUAACAUUUUAGGCAGUGGGUUGGCAUGACUGGCAAAUUCACCAGCCGUAUUACCAAUCCUGAGCUUGAUGCCAGUCGACCGUGGUACCUGUAUAAUGAAAUAGCGCCCAUUUGCAGCAACAGCAACGUAUGUUCAAAACUAGCAGUGCCAAAGCCAUUAAAAUUGAGAACUCAGUCAUUUAAAACGAAGAAUGAAUGGAAAAAAGUGUUUAACAUUUAAAGUAAUACAGAGAAAGAGCUUAGCUCAUUUG
rnacentral:lncRNA from 1 species